UGGAAUCUGAAAAUGUAUCCUCCAGUUGUGAUAUAAAUACCGAAAAAUCAUUGAAAAAACCUUUACAAAAGGUUUCUGAAUAUAGUUAUAAAGAUAAAGGUCAGUAUGAAGUGUACAUUUCGAGCAAUACUAAUAAAAAUAUAGGAAAUUAUAAUUACUUGGCUAUUGCACGCGAAAUUUUUGAUCUUCAAUUAAAUUCUAUUAAAAAAAUUAACAAAAAAGGUAAGAAUCGAAUUAGUGUUGAAUUUAUAACUAGUUCAGAAGCCAAUAAAUUUUUAAAGAAUGAAGCGGUUAUAAAGAAGGGUUUUGACUUGUUUAUUCCAUAUAAAAAUGUUACCUGUAAGGGGGUAGUAAGAUUUAUUGAUGAGAGUUUUACAGAUGAAAUGACUGUCAAAUAUUGUGAGACGAAAAUGAUAAUUGUAAAAUUAUUGAAGCUAGGAGAUUAAGUACGAAAAAAAAAGAACCCUAAUAGAAUCACUACAACUAAUCAGGAAUGUUCAUUAGAAAAUAAUGCGAUCACUAAUAAAAAUAUAGAGGCUGAAUAUAUACCUACGUACCAUAAGUAUCACUUUCUUGGGUAUAUAUUUAAUGUAUAUAUAAAUAUAUACAUUACCGAAAAAUGCAUAUAUUUGUGGCAUAGAACAUAGGGUUCUUCCUUAUAUAUUACCGGUAGUUCAAUGUUAUAAUUGUUUAAAUUUUGGUCACUUUAAAAAAAUAUGUAAAAGUAACAAAAGUAAAUACUUAAAUUGCGGUUCUUUAGAACAUGAGAGGGGGUCCAUAAUUUGUUUCACUAAAUGUAUACAUUGUGAUAGUAAUGAGCAUAAUAGCACUGUAACGUUACAAACGUCACAUCUUUGAUAUUUUAUUUUUAAAUAAUUAUUUUAUCUUAUUUUCUUUAAUAUUUCAUUAAUCAUUAUCUUCUUCUAUUUGGUUUACCAAUUUUCCCCUUUAAUAAAAAUCGGUUGGCGCUCGUUCUGUAAUAGGCAACCCUAUUUACAUUGUAUCAUCUCUUGUGUUCCAUGUUCGUGAUUUCAAAUUUCGUCCAAGGUUCGUUGUCAUGUCAUUUUAAUGACAAUGACAACCCCCAUAUCUCAUUCUCAAAAUGGAGGUGGAAAUGUUUUAAAAAGCAAAGCAGCUUCAAAAAUAAAUCAUUUUAUUUCAACAAAUCAUCUUCCUCUUGGGGUGAGCUACAAAUAGUUUUUUUAAUAAUUUCUUACAGUCAUUAUAUUCCAUCCAUUCCAUUCCUUCUUAUAACAUUUUUUAUAAAUAUCUAACCUAACUUCCAAUGUCAGACCAUGUGUUCUAAUAUUUUAGUUUCAAAUCUUUUUAAUUUACAUGUGUUUGAUUUCUAUAUUUCUUUUCAUCUAUUAAUAUGCACGUUUGGUAAUCAGAAUUUUAACUAUUCUCAUCUAAAUUCUAUGUAAUUUACCCUUGCCAAUUACUAUUUCUGAAUACUAUUUGGCAAAGGUAUAUUUUGGUUUUUCUUCUUGAUGAUUGAUAUGUGUCUCUGUUUUAUAGUUUUUGGGAAUAAAGAUCACAGUCCUCCCUCCGGGAGCUUCAAGCCAUCCACACCGGUGAUGGAACUAGGGCUAUACCACAACAAUGGACCAUGAAAUCUAGGCUGCAACACUGAACAUCUUUUGCUGCACUGACCUAGGGCCUCAACAUCUGCCCAGGUCAAGAGAAGUCCACAGCAGUACCAUACGACAUCAAGAAGAUACCAUCAGCUACCAAAAGCCAUAAGUAUAAUCCAGAAUUGUUAGUUUUUGGCAAGAAUUUGAAUACAUUUGUUAAUGCAAUUUACUAAGUCAUUUUAUUUAUUAUAUCUUUAUGAACAAUAAACAUGAUUAGUUAAAAACUAUGUUUUGUUUGCUUCCAUUCCAAUUUUCAGAGUUCAUUCUAAGGUUAGGACAAGACGAACACCCACCUGAGUGACUGAGCUAAGCUAAGGGUGUAACGAUGGCUAUCUUGGUUAGUUGAGGUAAUAUUUUCGAAUAUUGUUUCAAUUAGCUGGGGUAGUCCAUUGCUUUUUCGUUACACUGGCGCACCCACGCACUUGUCUUAUCUGAGGAAUAGAACGUUGAAUUUUGGUUUGGUGCAAGCAUACAAGCAUUAAUAAAUACUAUUUUAUUAUAUUUCAUUUUUAUAUUCAAUUUUUGCAGUAAAUCUACAUAUAUUAUCUAUUUUGGUACUUUUUGACUACCUUUUUGACUAAUUUUUAUAUAUUUUCACAUGUUAUGGGUCAAAAAGUAUUACCAGUUUCAAUAAUUUAAUUAUAUAUUUCAGCAUAAUUGAUUUAAAAUACAUUUACAGUUGCAAAUAUUGGUAUAUUUAACAUUUUUACCUACUUUUUUUUGGUUAAUUUUUAUGUUAGGACCUUGAUAGUAAUGUCCACAUGGCAUUUUUCCUGUUUUUUUCAAUUUAACCAGUUUUUUUUGGUAGUUCUUAUUUAAUUACUUUCUUAUUUUAUUGUAACUUUCCAAAACCCAAGAGAAUUUUUCCAUUUAUUGUCAUAUUUUCUGUACUUUUUAUACGUACUAUCUCUUCUACGUUCUUUUCAUAGGUACUUCUGUGUACUAAGUGCAUUUAAAUCUCGUUUUAUUACUUAUUUUCAAUUACUUUUUACUUAUUCUUAUAUUUCCUAGUUGUUUUCAUAUAUUUAUUACCAAUUUUGUACAACUACCAAAAAUUUUGUUGUUUCCGUCGAACUUUCUGUUCAGAUGGUAUAUACUACUUUACUUGUAUAGUAAAGACUAGGACAAUUUUCAAGUUCUUUUCUUUCAUUGAGGUAUUUUAUUCUUAUUCUUCUUCUUUACGUAUUCAGAAUAUUAAUUUAAACCAUUCUUCUUCUUGUCUUGAAUCUCAAAAAAAAUUUUUUGUUCGUAAAGCAUGAUAUUUUACAUUUUUCAUUUUUUUGCAUUAUUGCACUUAUAUUAAUUAUGAUAAACAUUAUAUUUAACAUCUUUUUUAUUUAACAAUGCCCUAUUUAUCUAUAUAUUAUUGUUUUAUUAUUUUAUUUUGGGUGUUGUACUGAUUUUUGAUACAUAUUAGCAUGAAAGCCUCAUCCGGCACUUAUAAGUUGUGUAUGGCUUAUAUAUAUAGCUGCAUAGACACCUAGUGUUUUUUUUCCUAGGGUACAUAUAAGUUAUCCAUAGGGUUGGGCCAGAUCUAUUGAGUCUGAGUUCCGUUUUUUUGGUCUUAAUGACUGUUGAUAUACAGUUUAAUGCUGUAUAUUAUUUUUAGGAUGAUGUCUUUUAUAAAUUUUUUCUUUUGGAGUUCAAACAAUUCUAUGCAUAUCUACUUUUAGAAAUCUGGUGUAGAAUUGUGGCGCUUUGAAGUAUGAUUGUAGUUUAGCUACUAGCAUUUGUUAUUUUCCAUCUUUGCAAAUCAUAUUUAUGCAUUUUUAUACAUAUAUUUUGUUCUCUAGUGUAGAUCCCUGGUAUGCAUUUGAUGGAAGUAACAUUUGCAUUAUGUAUCAUUAUCUCUCUCUUUAUUAACUUAUUGGUUAAGUCUUUUAUGACUAGUUUUAUGCAGUUUUUUCAAACCCUUUGGUGUAGAACUUUGUCUUAUUUGGCUUUCCAUGUAGUUGGUACCUAUUUUUUUUAAUGGUUUAUCUAUAGUUGCACUUGCAUUUCUUUUUAUUAUAUUAUAUUUAUAUUAUCUUUAUCUACUUAUAUGCUUUUACUUACUUUUUCAUAUUGAUUAUUAUUUUUAUUACCGUACUUUCCGUACUUGAGUUAUCUAGGGUACUGGUGUUUUGUUGUGAGAUUCACUUCUUAGUAGCUCCAUUAGCUAUUUAUUUUAUUAAGGAUGUGAUAUCCAUUAUUUUUACUUAAAUUUGGUUAUAUGCCUUUUAUUUUAUAUAAAUACCAGAAUAUUUGCAAUGCAAUUCAUUUUUAAUAUGUCUACAUUAUUUGACUGUGGAUACUUACUUACUUUUGGAUUAUUAGUUAAAUUUGAUUAUUACUUACACUUUAUACUACAUGUCUUUAUAAUUUUGAAGUAAUUUCAUACUUUUUUAAAGUACAUUUAUUUUUUUUCCAGAGAUAGAUAUUCUCUGAUGUCAUUUAUUUAUAAUAAAUAAAUAUUUUAUAGUGUGAUGAAUACUACAAUUCAUUGGGUAAUAUUUUUAUUUUCCCCAGAGUAACAUCUGAAAAUUAUUUUGGUACUUUAAAAUUUUUUAUGAAUAAUAAUUUAAAUUAACGAUAUACAUUGACUUAAUAAUUACUUUAUUAUGAGUAUUUAUUUUUGAUUUGUUUUGAACGAUUACUACUGCAUAUAUUUAUUUCUGGUUAGAACUUUGUCUUCUUAUUUUCUUUGAGAAAAAUUUCUCACCUGUGUUCGAAAUUUUUCUGAUGAGUGGAGGGAGUGUGUAACAUUCCUGUUUUCUUUGAGAAAAAUUUCUCACGUGUGUUCAAAAUUUUUCUGAUGGGUGAGAGGAGUGUGUAACGUUACAAACGUCACAUCUUUGAUAUUUUAUUUUUAAAUAAUUAUUUUAUCUUAUUUUCUUUAAUAUUUCAUUAAUCAUUAUCUUCUUCUAUUUGGUUUACCCAUUUUCCCCUUUAAUAAAAAUCGGUUGGCGCUCGUUCUGUAAUAGGCAACCCUAUUUACAUUGUAUCAUCUCUUGUGUUCCAUGUUCGUGAUUUCAAAUUUCGUCCAAGGUUCGUUGUCAUGUCAUUUUAAUGACAAUGACAACCCCCAUAUCUCAUUCUCAAAAUGGAGGUGGAAAUGUUUUAAAAAGCAAAGCAGCUUCAAAAAUAAAUCAUUUUAUUUCAACAAAUCAUCUUCCUCUUGGGUUUUUGGGAAUAAAGAUCACAGUCCUCCCUCCGGGAGCUUCAAGCCAUCCACACCGGUGAUGGAACUAGGGCUAUACCACAACAAUGGACCAUGAAAUCUAGGCUGCAACACUGAACAUCUUUUGCUGCACUGACCUAGGGCCUCAACAUCUGCCCAGGUCAAGAGAAGUCCACAGCAGUACCAUACGACAUCAAGAAGAUACCAUCAGCUACCAAAAGCCAUAAGUAUAAUCCAGAAUUGUUAGUUUUUGGCAAGAAUUUGAAUACAUUUGUUAAUGCAAUUUACUAAGUCAUUUUAUUUAUUAUAUCUUUAUGAACAAUAAACAUGAUUAGUUAAAAACUA